rnacentral:rRNA from 1 species
CAAUAGCGUAUAUUAAAGUUGUUGCAGUUAAAAAGCUCGUAGUUGGAUUUGUGGCGUACGGUGUGUUCCGGGCACUUGUUGUCUGAGUAACCUGCUGUUGCCAUCCUUGGGUGGAACCUGUGUGGCAUUAGGUUGUCGUGCAGGGGAUGCCCAUCAUUUACUGGGAAAAAAUUAGAGUGUUCAAAGCAGGCUUAUGCCGUUGAAUAUAUUAGCAUGGAAUAAUGAGAUAGGACUUUUUUGCUAUUUUGUUGGUUUGCGCAAAGAGGUAAUGAUUAAUAGGGACAGUUGGGGGUAUUCGUAUUCCAUUGUCAGAGGUGAAAUUCUUGGAUUUUUGGAAGACGAACUACUGCGAAAGCAUUUACCAAGGAUGUUUUCAUUAA